UUUUACAGUUGGAAUAACAAUAGUUGCAUCAUAAAAGUUUUCAUACAAAAAUUCUGUCAUGUAUUUUAAAAUAUAUCUAUAAUAUAUUAUUGUAUGCAUGUUAUAAAAUAAAAUAUAGGCCUAUAUACUACUAGUAUGUUUACAGCAUAGAUGUUUAUUGAAUUAACAAUUUUUACUUUUUGCAUGAUCUUUUCAAAAUAGCGAAUAACUAAGACAGUCAAAGGGUGCGUUCGUAUAAACGUAAGCAAUGAUCCUGAGUCAUGUAGAUAAUGAUUCAACCCGUUCAUUAAAAUGACCAUUGCCGUUCGAUUUAGCAUAGUCGCGACCCGAGUCACGACGACAAUGACUCAGUUCCAGAACAGGGUCGUUUUGUCACGUAAUCUAAUCACCCAAUCAGUACCACCGAUGAUAAUAUGUAUAAGUGUUUUUUAUAUUCACUAUGAUGAUUCCACGAGCUUAAACAAUUAUAUGUGUUUGGCAAAUAUAGUAUCUUUCACGGCCUUGAGUCAGGCCAAGCAUUUUAACCUGGUCGUUCCCUAAUUUAUUACGAACAUACUCAAAAUAGUAUUCUUUUGAUAUAAAUGCUUUUAAAAGCGAAUCUAAAUACUUAAACAUAACUAACUGUAAAUUUUGAAUGAAUUUUGGCUCGG
rnacentral:lncRNA from 1 species